GUUUGUUUGUUGUUUGUUUGUUGUUUGUUUUUUUGUUUGUUUGUUGUUUGUUUGUUGUUUGUUUGUUGUUUGUUUGUUUGUUGUUUGUUGUUUGUUUGUUGUUUGUUUGUUGUUUGUUGUUUGUUUGUUUGUUUGUUUGUUGUUUGUUUGUUUGUUGUUUGUUGUUUGUUGUUUGUUGUUUGUUUGUUGUUUGUUUGUUGUUUGUUUGUUGUUUGUUGUUUGUUUGUUGUUUGUUUGUUGUUUGUUGUUUGUUUGUUGUUUGUUUGUUGUUGUUUGUUUGUUGUUUGUUUGUUGUUUGUUUGUUGUUUGUUGUUUGUUUGUUUGUUUGUUUGUUUGUUUGUUUGUUUGUUUGUUUGUUUGUUUGUUUGUUUGUUUGUUUGUUUGUUUGUUUGUUUGUUGUUUGUUGUUUGUUGUUUGUUGUUUGUUUGUUUGUUUGUUUGUUGUUUGUUUGUUGUUUGUUGUUUGUUUGUUGUUUGUUUGUUGUUUGUUGUUUGUUGUUUGUUUGUUGUUUGUUUGUUGUUUGUUUGUUGUUUGUUUGUUGUUUGUUUGUUGUUUGUUUGUUGUUUGUUUGUUGU